UAAGUUAACCGGAUGAUCGCAUCUUUUAUGAUGAGGAAAGUCCGAGCUCCACAGGAUAGGAUGCCGGGUAACACCCGGUGGAGGUAACUCCCAGGCUAGUGCCACAGAAAUAUACCGCUUUUUGAUGAAAGGGUUUUCUUGAAAUUCUUAUCAUUGGAAGUAAGGGUGAAAAGGUAAGGUAAGAGCUUACCGGGUUUCAGGUAACUGGAAUGCCAGGUAAACCCCAUCUGGAGUAAGUCCAAAUAGAGAGAAUAUAAAAGUGAUCCGCUUUUCUCCGGGUAAGGACGCUUGAGGGUUCAGGCAACUGUGCUCCCAGAUAGAUGAUCAUCUAAUACAGAACUCGGCUUAUAGGUUAACUUAUUUU
rnacentral:RNase_P_RNA from 2 species